AUCGAACGCUGUCGGCAGUCCUAACACAUGCAAGUCGAGCGGAGCGGCGGACGGGCGAGUGAUGCCUAGUCAUCUGCCUGGUAGUAGGGGAUAACGUCCGGAAACGGGCGUUAAUACCCCAUACUAGCAGAGGACCCUAGGUCGGAUUAGCGAGUUGGUGGGGUAACGGCUUACCAAGGCGACGAUCCGCAGCUGGUCUGAGCGGAUGAUCAGUCACACUGGAACUGAGACACGGUCCAGACUCCUACGGGAGGCAGCAGUGGGGAAUAUUGGGCAAUGGGCGAAAGCCUGAUCCAGCCAUGCCGCGUGUGUGAAGAAGGUCUUCGGAUUGUAAAGCACUUUAAGUUGGGAGGCGUUACCAACAGAAUAAGCACCGGCUAACUUCGUGCCAGCCGCCGCGGUAAUUC
rnacentral:rRNA from 1 species